rnacentral:rRNA from 1 species
AGUAACACGUGGGUGACCUGCCCUUAGCUCUGGGAUAAGCCUGGGAAACUGGGUCUAAUACCGGAUAUGACUCCAUGACGCAUGUUGGUGGGGUGGAAAGCCUUGUGCGGCUAGGGAUGGGCCCGCGGCCUAUCAGCUUGUUGGUGGGGUGAUGGCCUACCAAGGCGACGACGGGUAGCCGGCCUGAGAGGGCGACCGGCCACACUGGGACUGAGACACGGCCCAG